rnacentral:rRNA from 1 species
AUUGAACGCUGGCGGCAUGCCUUACACAUGCAAGUCGAGCGGCAGCACGGGUGCUUGCCUUUGGUGGUGAGUGGCGAGCGCGGGAGUAAUACAUCUGGACAUGUCCUCUAGAGGGCGAGAGCCCGUCGAGAGCCGGAUUAAUAACGCAGGCGAAUUACGUAUGAAGGCUGGGUCACUUCUGGCCUACCGUUAUGCUGUCAGCUGUUGAUGGAUUAGCUAGUUGGUAGGGUAACGGCCUACCAAGGCGACGAUCAGUAGCCGGUCUGAGAGGACGACCAGCCACACUGGGACUGAGACACGGCCCAGACUCCUACGGGAGGCAGCAGUGGGGAAUUUUGGACAAUGGGCGAAAGCCUGAUCCAGCAAUGCCGCGUGUGUGAAGAAGGCCUUCGGGUUGUAAAGCACUUUUGUCAGGAAAGAAAUCAUUGGCCCUAAUCCGGUCGGGGCAUGACGGUACCGGAAGAGUAAGCACCGGCUAACUACGUG